GGAGGAGGAGGUGAGGGUGAUGGCGGUGGUGGUGAUUUAUAAUAGUAUGGAGGAGGUGGAGAUUUCUUUGGGGGAGGAGGAGAUGUAUAGUGGUAUGGAGGUGGUGGUGAGGGGGAAGGUGGUGGUGGAGACUUGUAGUAAUAUGAAGGAGAUGGAGACUUCUUUGGUGGAGGAGGUGAUGUGUAAUGAUAUGGAGGUGGCGGCGAUGGAGAUGGUGGAGGUGGAGACUUAUAGUAGUAUGGAGGAGGUGGUGACUUCUUAGGAGGUGGUGGUGAAGUAUAGUGGUAUGGAGGCGGCGGUGAUGGUGAUGGUGGAGGCGGAGACUUAUAGUAGUAUGGAGGAGGGGGAGAUUUCUUUAGAGGAGGAGGUGAAGUAUAGUGGUAAGGAGGUGGUGGUGAAGGAGAUGGUGGAGGUGGAGACUUGUAGUAGUAUGGUGGAUGUUCUACAUGCUUUGGUGGGGGUGGAGACUUAUAUUUAUAAGGUGGAUGCCUCACAUACUUUGGUGGAGGUGGUGACUUGUAGUAAUAUGGUGG
rnacentral:lncRNA from 1 species